ensembl:lncRNA
GUUCGGUUGUGUCCGACUCAGCAACUGCAUGGACUGUAGCAACUCCGUGGACUGUAGCCCGCCAGGCUCCUCUGUCCAGGGGAUUUCCCAGCCAAAACUACUGGAGAGGGCUGCCAUUCCCUUCUCCAGGGGAUCUUUUCGAACCAGGGAUCGAACCUCAAUCUCUUGCAGCUCCUACAUUGCGGCCGGAUUCUUUACCACUGAGCCACCAGGGAAAACAGAAACCAAGGCAAACCACUUCCUUUGAGAAGCUGUAAUCUGAAGAAGCUCAGCCCUUCUCUGAACCAAUAAGACGCACAAGUUGCCUCUGUGUACACCUCUUUAUCCCUGUGUAAGUAGCCUCUUGUUCAAGCUCAGUUCUCACUCCAAUUUUUGCUAGCUUUUUCGCCAUCAAAUUUUUCUUUCUCCUUUAGUUAAAAAAGUUUAAAAAUAAUUCAAGGUGCUGUUGAAAAACAAGGAAGCCUAGGGUAUACCCUGAGAGCCCUUUGCCUCAGUUUCCUCCUGUGUACAUGGAGGAAUUGUGGUUUUCAAAUAUUCUGAGGAUAAGUACUGAGCAGGUGACAUCUGACUUCCUAAAAUAUAAGUUGCAGCUCUCCUCCCAGCCCCAUGUGGUCACAGAGAUUCUUAUUCUCCGAAUUGGAGUUGGCAAGGGGCCCAACAGUCUAUACGUGAAAACAUUCUUCCAGGUUUGAUACUGAUUUUCCCCCAAAUUUGGGAAUAUUUGGAUUAAUUUUUAUUCAUUCUCUAAGCUCUCCAUGUGAAAACAUUUAAGUCCCAAAGAAAUCUUAAUUUUCAAUGUUGGUUGAUCACACACUAGGAUUGGAAGCAAAGAAAGAAAAGGAGGUCUUGCUGAAUUCCUUAAUAAUCACAUUUAGAUCCAACAAUGACAUUUCCUUCAUUGUAGGAUGGGGGGACCAGGUGCUCCUGAGAUCUGCCAGGCCUUAAGUACUUGGCCGGCAAGACAGACUGAGGCCCCAGGAGAGGCUACUCCCAAGUGCGACUCCCAGAGAACGCUGCUGGAGUGCUUCUGAGCCUAAAAUGCUCUUCAUUUCCAAAUCUGUGUUCUCUGAAAAUAAAGUACAGGUUGUGUGCAGGAAUUUAUAGUAUCACUUAAGUAAGUCUGUGUUAUGGAAGCAAGACAGUCUCUUUUCAAAUAAGUUCUUUUUCAAUAUGACCUUAAGAUAUUUUAGACCGUAUUUCUUAAAAU